rnacentral:rRNA from 1 species
CCCCAGGUCAGGCGGGACCACCCGCUGAGUUUAAGCAUAUCAAUAAGCGGAGGA